rnacentral:lncRNA from 1 species
CCACUAGACAUCUUAAACGUACCUACAUUUAUUUUUCAUGAAAAUUAGACAAAUAUUUUUUGGCCAAAAAAUAUAGUAGUGAUGACGGUUAUAUAAGAGAACCUAAAUAAUAAAGUUAUUGUACAGAAGAAUUAAAUACGAAGUAAAGAAAAUGAUUGUAAAAAUUUAAGUAAUUAAAAAAAUAAUAUGGAUUAAUAAAACCUAAUAUUAAUGAAUAAUAAUCCAAUUUGAUAAAAAAAUAAUCCUAAUAUAAAACAUAGUGAUGAAUAAUAAUCCAAUUUGAUAAUAAUCCAAUUUAAUGAAUAAUCCAAUUUGAUAAUAAUCCAAUUUAAUGAAUAAUCCAAUUUGAUAAUAAUAAAAAACCUAAUAUUAAUGAAUAAUAAUCCAAUUUGAUAAAAAAAAUAAUCCUAAUAUAAAACAUAGUGAUGAAUAAUAAUCCAAUUUAAUGAAUAAUCCAAUUUGAUAAUAAUCCAAUUUAAUGAAUAAUCCAAUUUGAUAAUAAUAAAAAACCUAAUAUUAAUGAAUAAUAAUCCAAUUUGAUAAAAAAAUAAUCCUAAUAUAAAACAUAGUGAUGAAUAAUAAUCCAAUUUGAUAAUAAUCCAAUUUAAUAAUAAUCCAAUUUAAUGAAUAGUCCAAUUUGAUAAUAAGCCAAUUUAAUGAAUAAUCCAAUUUAAUGAAUAAUAAUCCAAUUUAACAAUAAUCCAAUUUAAUGAAUAGUCCAAUUUGAUAAUAAGCCAAUUUAAUGAAUAAUCCAAUUUAAUGAAUAAUAAUCGAAUUUAACAAUAAUCCAAUUUAAUGAAUAGUCCAAUUUGAUAAUAAGCCAAUUUAAUGAAUAAUCCAAUUUAACAAUAAUCUAAUUUAAUGAAUAGUCCAAUUUGAUAAUAAGCCAAUUUAAUGAAUAAUCCAAUUUAAUUAAUAAUAAUCCAAUUUGAUAAUAAUCUAAUUUAAUGAAUAAUAAUCCAAUUUGAUAAUAAAACCUAAUAUUAAUAAAAUAAUAAAUAACAUUAAACAUAUUAAAAUAAUCCUAGGGAAUAAUUAUACAACAUUACUUAAUUACUUAAAAAAAUUAACAUGUAAUUGUUAACAUUACUUAAUUACUUACAAAAAUUAACAUACGAGUCCAUACAAAUUUAUUUGUUGUUGUAUAAAUUACAAUAAUAUAAAUAUAAGUUUGUAAACUUACCUUAAAUAUGAAACCCUUUGUGUUCAAGCUUUGGAAUAGAUCUGGAAUGGCUUUGAAAAUGGUAAGGGAAAUAAAAUAAUAAAUAACAUUAAACAUAUUAAAAUAAUCCUAGGGAAUAAUUAUACAACAUUACUUAAUUACUUUAAAAAAAUUAACAUGUAAUUGUUAACAUUACUUAAUUACUUACAAAAAUUAACAUGCAAGUAUUAAUUACUUAAAAAAAAUUAACAUACAAGUCCAUACAAAUUUAUUUGUUGUUGUAUAAAUUACAAUAAUAUAAAUAUAAGUUUGUAAACUUACCUUAAAUAUGGAACCCUUUGUGUUCAAGCUUUGGAAUGGAUCUGGAAUGACUUUGAAAAUGGUAAGGGAAGAAGAAGAAACGAAAAUGCUCUGAGGGAAUGCCUCUGAUACUCCACCUCUGAUAAGGUUUUGCACAUGCUCUGAGGGAAUAUAAGUAUAUAACAGAGAGUGGAACAUGGUUUUGCAUGUGAAAGCAUAUCACAGACUCACAGUGACACACGGUUUCAUUAUUAAAGUUCUAUUAUUCGUUGUCCAUUGUCUGCAAUUGUAAAAAGUGAUUGAAAAAUUAGUGAGGUGAGUCAGAUGGGGUCAAUCAACCACAGAGGCACACACACAGACAUGCUAUUAUUCGUUGUCCAUUGUCUGCAAUUGUAAAAAGUGAUUGAAAAAUUCAUGAGGUGAGUCAGAUGGGGUCACUCAACCACAGAGGCACACACACACACA